UACAGAGGGGGCAAGCGUUGUUCGGAAUUACUGGGCGUAAAGGGCGCGUAGGCGGCCUUCUAAGUCGAACGUGAAAUCCCCGGGCUCAACCCGGGAACUGCGUCCGAUACUGGAAGGCUUGAAUCCGGGAGAGGGAUGCGGAAUUCCAGGUGUAGCGGUGAAAUGCGUAGAUAUCUGGAGGAACACCGGUGGCGAAGGCGCAUCCUGGACCGGCAUUGACGCUGAGGCGCGAAAGCCAGGGGAGCAAAGCGG
rnacentral:rRNA from 1 species